rnacentral:rRNA from 1 species
GACGAACGCUGGCGGCGUGCCUAACACAUGCAAGUCGAACGGAAAGGCCCUGCUUUUGUGGGGUGCUCGAGUGGCGAACGGGUGAGUAACACGUGAGUAACCUGCCCUUGACUUUGGGAUAACUUCAGGAAACUGGGGCUAAUACCGGAUAGGAGCUCCUGCUGCAUGGUGGGGGUUGGAAAGUUUCGGCGGUUGGGGAUGGACUCGCGGCUUAUCAGCUUGUUGGUGGGGUAGUGGCUUACCAAGGCUUUGACGGGUAGCCGGCCUGAGAGGGUGACCGGCCACAAUGGGACUGAGAUACGGCGCAGACUCGUACGGGAGGCAGCAGUGGGGAGUAUUGCACAGUGGGCGGAAGCCAGAUACAGCAACGCCGCGUGCGGGAUGGCGGCCUGCUGGUUGUAAACCGCUGUCGCCUGUGACGAAGCGGGAGUGACGGUAAUGGGUAAAGAAGCACCGGCUAACUACGUG